AGUGCUGGUUUUCACUUUGCUUCUUCUCUGAGCCAGGGUGCUACCUGCCCUCUGUGAGGGAGUAGUGAGCUCUGCUUCCAGUAGCUGCAGGGCUUCCCCCUUUUGACACCUUUGGACUUCCGGAGAUGUGGCUUAUGGAAUAGCCUGAUCAACUCUCCCAGAUCAACUAGGAAAAAUGACAAAAAGCACCUGAGAACUCAACAAAAUUCAACCAGUAUCUCUUCAAAACCUCAGCAAGCCACAGCACCUGAGCACCCCCCAGGGGCUGUGCUGGAACUGGCUGCGCCCAGACCUGUCCUCAAGGGAGCAGAUCCUGGACCAGCUGGUGCUGGGGCAGUUCCUGGAAUCCUGCUCCUCUGAGCUAGAGGCCCUGGUGCUGAAGAGUGGGGUGCAGACAUGUACUGGGCUGAGGAGCACCUGCUGAGGAGCCUGGAGGCACCCCAAGGCAACAGUGCACCCCAGGAGUGGAUUCAGCACAGCAGUCUCAUUCAAGGAGGAGCUGACGCCCCCACAGAGGAGAGGGCACAGAGACCUGCCCACCAGGUUGCAGAGGGAGGCAAAGGACCAGCCCAGG